AGACGGAGGGCGCAAGCGUUGUUCGGAAUUACUGGGCGUAAAGGGCAGGUAGGUGGUCUGUUAAGUCUUCUGUGAAAAUCCGGGGCUCAACCCCGCGAAAUGCAGGUGAAACUGGCAGACUGGAGACCGGUAGAGGCUAGCGGAAUUCCCGGUGUAGAGGUGAAAUUCGUAGAUAUCAGGAGGAACACCAGUGGCGAAGGCGGCCACCUGGACGGUGACUGACGCUCAGACCCGAAAGCGUGGGGAGCAAACAGGAUUAGAUACCCCAGUAGUCC
rnacentral:rRNA from 1 species